GGUUGCGAUCAUACCAGCACUAAUGCACCGGAUCCCAUCAGAACUCCGCAGCUAAGCGUGCUUGGGCGAGAGCAGUACUAGGAUGGGUGACCCCCUGGGAAGUCCUCGUGUUGCAACCC
rnacentral:rRNA from 1 species